GUAAAGUGAGAGAGCAGAGGCUUUCCUGUUCCCUCUGCAAGAUCUCUUGGUGCUUCUGGACUGGAGGAGCAGGCGAGUUCGACAUCCGACGUCUGCUGAUUGGCAGGCGUUUCAGAAACAACUUAAAUCCCGUUUUGGACCGCAAACUUGAUACGUGUAUUCUGGCGGCAGCUCCGGCCUCGCUUUCCUCCUCGCCGAAAGCUCGUCUUUCAGCAUCACCCGUCAUGUUCUCCGCGGCGCGUCUCAGACUCACGGCUUGUGGGGUUCUGUGGUGUGUUCUGGGUUUCAACGCAAUUUUUGUCAUGGCGGCUCUCCCUGCUCCCACUCUGCAUUUCACACAACCGGUCAACGGCACCAACAUUGAGCUGUCCUCCAAAGUCGUCAUGGAAUGCUUCCCACCAAAAGAGGCACAAUAUCCCAUCUUCCUCAACCUGGGGAAACAAGAGCAGCCACUCGUCCCCCUGCUGUUUUACAGGCUCACGUCCUACAACAGCGUGCUCUUCACGAUUCCGGCCGUCGAGGAGUAUGAGGGGCUCUUUGUGUGUUGGUACAAUGUCAGCAAGACAAAUGAGGUGUCUGCACCCAGCAAAGCUACGAACCUAAACAUCACUUCUUUACCUGUCCCAAGCAUUUCCGUGAAACCGACCUUCAUUCGAACAGGGAAGAACUACUCGGUCUCUUGCGUAACGUCGACCUACUUCUACAACGCCACCUUCCGCAUUUACUUUCGCGACGCAGCAGGUUCCGCGCAUGACGGGGCGCUGCAGCUCUUUGGAAUCCUGAAUCUGAAUGGCACUGGAGUAAUAACUUAUAGGGACGUUGCAGAGGAGAAUGAGAGGAGGGAGUACAUCUGUGACGUUGAGGUCUUCUACAGAAAUCGCAUCCUGAGGUCUCCCUUCUCCAGGUCUUUGACUGUCACUGCAGAAAUGCUUCCAGCGCGCCUACUCUCUGACAUCCAGGGGAUCCGGUGCAUGGGGAAGCUGGAGGUGUUUGAGGAACAGAAGUGGUACCCCGUGUGCAUGCCUUAUGGCCUGAAGGAGGCCACAGCCCAAGUGGCUUGCAGAGAACUUGGAUGUGGCAAGGUGGUGCAAUUAGACACCAGUACAAAUUCUCUCCAGUCCCGUUCCUUUCAAUGUUCUGGAAACGAGGGGCGUCUCCGGGACUGCAGCUUUCCCUCGGAACGGAGGUUCUGCAACCGUGAUUAUAACCUAUGGGUCAUGUGUUCAGUUUUCGCUGAGGAUUUUCUUCCAGCUCCAAAGCUUUCAAUCAACGGUUUUAAUUUUUUAACCAGUGUUCAUGUCUAUGAAGGAAACUCACUGGAAGUCUACUGUACAUUCAAUGCUCCUUGGCUCGGUAACAAGACGGUGAGCAUUGCUUUGAAGGAAUUAAAUCAAGGUGUGAAAUCGUCAUUUUUUUUGACUACUGCUGGGAAGACAGUUGUCUUUACGAUGUCCUCCCCUGUGUCUCCCGGUGACUAUGCCUGUAUCGCGAGGUUUGACGACUCCUUCCAAACCAUUUACAGUCCAUCUAGCAACAGUGUGACCAUCACCACUGGAAAGCCUCCAAAUGUUGGCCUCAUUGUGGGAGCUCUCAUAGUAUCUCUGAUAGGUGCUGGAAUUCUAGUCUGCUUGUGCGUCUUUCGGGUUAGUGAUGGAGAGACACAAACUGAUAUGAAUGCAUUGGAGAAAAAUGUGGAGAAACCUGCCUCUGACCUGGAGGGUGAAGAGAUGCAAUGAUGUGCCAGUGUGCAGCACAGCAGCGCCGCCAAGUGCAAUGGUGCCAUUGACAGCUGAUGUCAUCGAAAGUGGCGUGUAAUUCGUCUAUCAACAUCUUCUCCGCUAUUUUACAUGCUUUCUCAUGGCUUUUCUCAGGUGGAAGAUAGAGUUCCUAGCGUGGUACCUGUCACACAUUUAGGGUUCCUACCUCUUAGAAAAGUCUUCCUUUCGCUGAGGGUUCCAUUUGAUGAUGGGUUGCCCUGAAAGGCUGCAUUUCGCACUGAUUUAAUAUAUGAAACAUUGCUGUAGUAACACCUACAUGUUUAAGUACAGAAAUAAACGAGUAGCGCUCUUAUUGAAGAAACA
rnacentral:lncRNA from 1 species